ACUCCUACGGGAGGCAGCAGUGGGGAAUAUUGCACAAUGGGCGCAAGCCUGAUGCAGCGACGCCGCGUGGGGGAUGAAGGCCUUCGGGUUGUAAACUCCUUUCGCUAGGGACGAAGCUUUUUGUGACGGUACCUAGAUAAGAAGCACCGGCCAACUACGUGCCAGCAGCCGCGGUAAU
rnacentral:rRNA from 1 species